rnacentral:rRNA from 1 species
GUCGUGGCACAGAAUCGGAGGCCCCGACUGUUUACUAAAAACAUAUGAAUCUGCGACGAUUAAUCUCUUUGUAUAGGUUCUGAAAUUUGCCCAAUGCCAUUAAUAUAAGUGCGGUAAGUAAAGUUAUAAAUUUACCAAACGAAUGUCUGGUUAAUAGCGGUCUUAACUAUGAGGAUCCAAAGGUAGCAAAAUGAAUUGUCCAUUAAAUGUGGUCAAGUAUCAAUAGUGUAACGAUGGUCUCACUGUCUCUACAAGUCGCUCA